AAUUCCUGCUCGGAUUUUAACCGAAACCUAUGAUUUGAAGAACCAUCGUUGUUUUUCAACUACAAGAAC
rnacentral:tRNA from 1 species